rnacentral:misc_RNA from 1 species
GCGGAAGGAUCAUUGUCGAAACCUGCAAAGCAGAACGACCCGCGAACUAGUUUAGACACUGGGGGAGAGGCCCGGUCGGUGUGCUUCGGUACCCGCCCGUGCAGCUCCCUCUCUUCCCCGGCAUGUGCUUGCGUGCAUGCUGGGUGAACUAACGAACCCCGGCGUGGAAAACGCCAAGGAACACUGAACGGAUAGCCUGCCUUCCGCGCCCCGUCUCUGAUCGGUACGCGCAGAAGGACAUGUGCUUCUAUUUGAAACUGAAACGACUCUCGGCAACGGAUAUCUCGGCUCUCGCAUCGAUGAAGAACGUAGCGAAAUGCGAUACUUGGUGUGAAUUGCAGAAUCCCGUGAACCAUCGAGUCUUUGAACGCAAGUUGCGCCCGAUGCCACUAGGCUGAGGGCACGUCUGCCUGGGCGUCACACAUCAGGUCGCCCCCGCACCCCGCGCCCAUCUCCACUGAUGGAUGAGGCGGUGUCGUGGGACGGAUGCUGGCCUCCCGUGCUCCCUGAGAGUGCGGUUGGUCUAAAUUUGAGUCCACGUCGACGGACGUCACGACAGGUGGUGGUUGAAUCUCAACUCUCGUAAUGUCGUGGCUCGACCUCACGUCUGGGCUYCCCGACCCUUUUUGCGCUCCCGCGCUCCGAUC